GAUGAACGCUGGCGGCGUGCCUAAUACAUGCAAGUCGAGCGAACAGACGAGGAGCUUGCUCCUCUGACGUUAGCGGCGGACGGGUGAGUAACACGUGGAUAACCUACCUAUAAGACUGGGGUAACUUCGGGAAACCGGAGCUAAUACCGGAUAAUAUAUUGAACCGCAUGGUUCAAUAGUGAAAGACGGUUUUGCUGUCACUUAUAGAUGGAUCCGCGCCGCAUUAGCUAGUUGGUAAGGUAACGGCUUACCAAGGCAACGAUGCGUAGCCGACCUGAGAGGGUGAUCGGCCACACUGGAACGGAGACACGGUCCAGACUCCUACGGGAGGCAGCAGUAGGGAAUCUUCCGCAAUGGGCGAAAGCCUGACGGAGCAACGCCGCGUGAGUGAUGAAGGUCUUCGGAUCGUAAAACUCUGUUAUUAGGGAAGAACAAAUGUGUAAGUAACUAUGCACGUCUUGACGGUACCUAAUCAGAAAGCCACGGCUAACUACGUG
rnacentral:rRNA from 1 species